rnacentral:rRNA from 1 species
AUUGAACGCUGGCGGCAUGCCUUACACAUGCAAGUCGAACGGCAGCACGGGAGCAAUCCUGGUGGCGAGUGGCGAACGGGUGAGUAAAGUAUCGGAACGUGCCCAGUCGUGGGGGAUGACGUAGCGAAAGUUACGCUAAUACCGCAUACGAUCUAUGGAUGAAAGCGGGGGAUCGCAAGACCUCGCGCGAUUGGAGCGGCCGAUAUCAGAUUAGGUAGUUGGUGGGGUAAAGGCUCACCAAGCCGACGAUCUGUAGCUGGUCUGAGAGGACGACCAGCCACACUGGGACUGAGGCACGGCCCAGACUCCUACGGGAGGCAGCAGUGGGGAAUUUUGGACAAUGGGCGCAAGCCUGAUCCAGCCAUGCCGCGUGCAGGAUGAAGGCCUUCGGGUUGUAAACUGCUUUUGUACGGAACGAAAAGGUUUGACUUAAUACGUUGGACUCAUGACGGUACCGUAAGAAUAAGCACCGGCUAACUACGUGCCAGCAGCCGCCGUAA